CGAAACCACUAGGGGUGCCUUUUAAAGGCUGAGAUCGAAGUUUGACUUCGAGACUCUUAGAACCUGAUCUGGAUUAUACCAGCGUAGGGAAGUGGCUGUUACGGAAA
rnacentral:ncRNA from 2 species